rnacentral:rRNA from 1 species
UACGAAGGGGGCUAGCGUUGUUCGGAAUUACUGGGCGUAAAGCGCACGCAGGCGGAUUGAUAAGUCAGGGGUGAAAUCCCGGGGCUCAACCUCGGAAUUGCCUUUGAUACUGUCUGUCUUGAGACCGGGAGAGGUGAGUGGAAUUCCUAGUGUAGAGGUGAAAUUCGUAGAUAUUAGGAAGAACACCAGUGGCGAAGGCGGCUCACUGGCCCGGUACUGACGCUCAUGUGCGAAAGCGUGGGGAGCAAACAGG